rnacentral:rRNA from 1 species
UUAAAUGUAAAUUAAUAAACUAAGUGAUUAAUAGUUAAGUUCUUUAAAGCUAAAUGAUUUGGCGGUAUUUUAAUCUUUUCAGAGGAACCUGUUCAUUAAUCGAUAAUCCACGAUUUAAUUAACUUAAAUUAGAAAUUUUUAUAUCGUCGUUUUUAAAUAUUUUAUUAGAAUUUAAUAUUUAAUUUUUCUUUAUUAAGAAAUAAAUCAGAUCAAGGUGAAGUUUAUAUUUAAGAUGAAAUGGGUUACAUUAAAUUAUAUUUAUGGAUUUUAAAUUUUAAAAAUUUUAUGAAAUUGGAUUUGAAAGUAAUUAGUUAAAAUUUUUUCUGAUGAUUAAGCGCUAAAAUAUGC